GAUGAACGCUGGCGGCGUGCCUAAUACAUGCAAGUCGAGCGAACAGAUGAGGAGCUUGCUCCUCUGACGUUAGCGGCGGACGGGUGAGUAACACGUGGAUAACCUACCUAUAAGACUGGGAUAACUUCGGGAAACCGGAGCUAAUACCGGAUAAUAUAUUGAACCGCAUGGUUCAAUAGUGAAAGACGGUUUUGCUGUCACUUAUAGAUGGAUCCGCGCCGCAUUAGCUAGUUGGUAAGGUAACGGCUUACCAAGGAAACGAUGCGUAGCCGACUGGAAAGCGUAUCCGCCAACCCGGAAACUGGACACGGACCCGACUUCUUAGGGAGGAAGGCGUAAGGGAAUUUCCGCAAUGGGCGAAAGCCUGACGGAGCAACGCCGCGUGAGUGAUGAAGGUCUUCGGAUCGUAAAACUCUGUUAUUAGGGAAGAACAAAUGUGUAAUUAACUAUGCACGUCUUGACGGUACCUAAUCAGAAAGCCACGGCUAACUACGUG
rnacentral:rRNA from 1 species